GGAGGGGGCACCCCGGCGCCGGAGCGACCCAGGGGGACAGCGAGUGCCGCGGGGACCACGCAAUGGCAUGUAGAAUGAAGUGGAGUAGCGAGGAAGGUAUCUGCAGCAGAAAUUUCAUUAGCAUUUUCAGCUAAUUGCGUAUGUCCUCAUCCCUUUAAAAAGGACAUCCCAUAUCAAGGAAAACAUGACUGAAUCCUGAACACCAGAAAUUCCUGCCAUGCUUCUCUGCUGCUAAACUGAGUUCUCUGCAGCCCCAAAAGAAGAUUUCUGCUGGUAGUGCUGCAGAGCCAAGCUGACAGUCUGA